rnacentral:rRNA from 1 species
GCUGUGAAGAUGCAGUGUACCCGCGGCAAGACGGAAAGACCCCGUGAACCUUUACUAUAGCUUGACACUGAACAUUGAGCCUUGAUGUGUAGGAUAGGUGGGAGGCUUUGAAGUGUGGACGCCAGUCUGCAUGGAGCCGACCUUGAAAUACCACCCUUUAAUGUUUGAUGUUCUAACGUGGACCCGUGAUCCGGGUUGCGGACAGUGUCUGGUGGGUAGUUUGACUGGGGCGGUCUCCUCCUAAAGAGUAACGGAGGAGCACGAAGGUUGGCUAAUCCUGGUCGGACAUCAGGAGGUUAGUGCAAUGGCAUAAGCCAGCUUGACUGCGAGCGUGACGGCGCGAGCAGGUGCGAAAGCAGGUCAUAGUGAUCCGGUGGUUCUGAAUGGAAGGGCCAUCGCUCAACGGAUAAAAGGUACUCCGGGGAUAACAGGCUGAUACCGCCCAAGAGUUCAUAUCGACGGCGGUGUUUGGCACCUCGAUGUCGGCUCAUCACAUCCUGGGGCUGAAGUAGGUCCCAAGGGUAUGGCUGUUCGCCAUUUAAAGUGGUACGCGAGCUGGGUUUAGAACGUCGUGAGACAGUUCGGUCCCUAUCUGCCGUGGGCGCUGGAGAACUGAGGGGGGCUGCUCCUAGUACGAGAGGACCGGAGUGGACGCAUCACUGGUGUUCGGGUUGUCAUGCCAAUGGCACUGCCCGGUAGCUAAAUGCGGAAGAGAUAAGUGCUGAAAGCAUCUAAGCACGAAACUUGCCCCGAGAUGAGUUCUCCCUGACCCUUUAAGGGUCCUGAAGGAACGUUGAAGACGACGACGUUGAUAGGCCGGGUGUGUAAGCGCAGCGAUGCGUUGAGCUAACCGGUACUAAUGAACCGUGAGGCUUAACCUUACAACGCCGAAG